CCUGAGAAACCCAAAAGAUCGAAUGGGGAGAUUCAUCGUCAGCUCAUUUUGUAUAUGUAUAAGUUAUGAUGCGGGUUACUACUUGUAGUAUUGCCUGCACAUUCUUGUAUAUUUAGUUGCAAGAUGUUGUCGGCGUGCACUUCUCCCCUAGUAGGACGUCGCGACCUGUUGGGUGUCGGUCUACGGCCCAAGUGAUAGCCUUUAAUGUAAUUUAAAAAACAUUGAAGAUCCUUGGUGUUUUCUGACCGGCUACUUGGCAGUAUUCGUACGGUAUUUAGCCGCUAAAUUUAUUAAGCGUCCAUAUCCAUCACAAGCGAGGCUAAUUUACUGAUAGUACGGACCUAGUGCCGUCGUUGGUAUUGGCCAGCUGUUGGUUGAUGGUAUUCUAGGACUGGCUAAAAUUAAUUACCGGUCGGCGAUGCUACUGCUUUGGGUACUUUCAG
rnacentral:rRNA from 2 species